rnacentral:lncRNA from 1 species
AUUUGCCUAAGUGAGGCAGGUUGGCAAACACCCAGGCUCUGCUCUGACUGUAACUGGCUACCACCUACUGAGCAUGUCUCCAUCCUCUUGGCUAUGGCUGGGCAGACAUUGUCUCUCCUGUGUGUGCGGGCUAAUUCCCUCAACGCAAGAUACUAAGUCAUGGCUGGCUCAUCACACUGGCUCGCUAUGAAGUGGAGUCUACUAGAGUCCCCAGAGUAUGAGAAGGUCCCCUCGAGACCCUCGAAUAAUUGAACCUGCUGGACAGGUCAAGUGGCGCCCAACGUGGGGCACGGGGUACUACCGCCCUCUGGACAACGGAUUAAAGAGGUACCACACAGACAGUGAGAUAGUGGGACAGUCCCCCGCCACUUCGCUCGAGUGUCGCAGAUGGACGUCGGAGAGCUCAAGUGACCUUCUCAGUCAAACCGUUCACAUUGCGAGCUGCUGGCGGCUGCAACAUUUUGGCGCUUGAACAGGGACCUGAAGAAUGGCAGAGGGAGGCUAAGAGAAAUGCUGCUGCUGUGGAGCUCCACAGGAAAGGAUCUUCGUAUCGGGCAUCGGAGCAACGGACAGGAUUGCCAUGGACAGAUCUCUCACAAUAUUGAUGAUGCUGGUCAUGACGGCGACAGCCAGGCAAGCCCAGACCUAUCAGGUUUUUAACUAUAACUAGAUUAUUCAAAAUCAGGCUGGAGACAUAGUUAACUCCAGCUCCAAGAUUGGUGACGAGCCCCAUUGGCCCAAGUUAGAAGUAGACAUCUGUGUCCUCACAUUGGGUGCAGAUGCCGCCUGGGGCACCCCUGAUUAUUAUAUGCCUCAAUUAACAGCAGUUAACACAGGUGAUAAAAAGACUGAUUCAGGUUACAGCAGUGAUAUACGUCGUACUGCCCUGGCCUUACACACUGGAGGUAUAUAUGUGUGUCCAGGAACUCAUCGAGAUAGAUCUCUAAAUUAUAAAUGUGGCUAUGAAAAUGAUUUUUUAUUGCGCCUCUUGGGGCUGUGAAACCACUGGAGAUACCUAUUGGACUCCAUCCUCCUCUUGGGAUUAUAUUACAGUUAAAUGACUUUACCCCAAUUCCAAAGUUACCUCCCCUGGAAAACAACCCCUUAAUAGCUAUUGUUCCCCCAAUUCUUCUAGACAAGGGUGGUGCAACCCAUUACAAAUUGGCUUUACAACAGCCGCAAGGACUGCUGACUGGACCAAGAGAGGAUUCUCUUGGGGGUUGCACACAUAUAAAGAGGGCACAGAUUGGGGAUUGACCUUCAAGAUUAAACUACAAAAGGAAAUCCCCAACAAAUAUAAAGCAUCUAUAGGACCUAACCCCCAAUUACAUCACCCUAAUUCCCCAAACAAUCCCAGGUACCCGCCUCCUGUUCCUGCCCCAGGGCAUACUACGACCCUAUUUCAGCCCACUCUCCCUGUGGUCUAUAUUAAAUGCUUCUGCUUUAGCCUUGCUGGAUAAGACACAAAGAGAUAAUGCGUCAGAAUUUAAAGAUUGUUGGAUGUGCUUUUCUGCUUCCCCGCCCUUUUAUGAGGGCAUAGCCUGAUUUGGAAAUUUUACCCUGCUUUCAGAUGCUAGGCAGCUUCCCUUCGAGUCAGUUCAGCUUACCUUGACAAAACUCUCUGGGAUAGGAAGUUGUGUGUUGGGCCCAGAUGUGCUUCCACCAUGGUCCUUGCUAGAAAUUUGCAAUAACACGUUUAGAGUAAAUAAAAAUAGGUAUUCUUAUCUUCUUGCCCCAAAUGAUACCUUUUUGGCAUGUUCCACAGGCCUUACACGGUACAUUAUUAUACAAGAUUUUAUAAAUAAUAGAGAUUAUUGUGUCUUGGUCCAGCUUUUUCCAAAUUUUAGUAUUCAUAAGACAGAUGACUUAUUAACGUUUUGGGACCAAUGUGCCUCCUUGCUAUCCCUCCACAAAAGAGAGCCUAUCUCGGCGGUGAGCCUUGCGGUCCUUCUUGGCCUGGGUGCUGCUAGGACCAGGACCAGAAUCACAGCCCUUGUGUCAUCUCAACAGAAUGCGUGCAAUUACCAUCUGCUCAACGAGGCUAUUAGCCAAGAUAUAGAAAAUAUAAAAAAGGGCCUAGAUGAUCUUACUGAUUCCUUGGUCUCCCUUUCAGAAGUUGCCCUUCAAAAUAGAAGGAAAUUAGAUUUGCUCUUUCUACAACAAGGAGGCUUAUGCGCUGCACUUAAGGAAGAAUGCUGCGUAUAUGUUGAUAAAACUGAAUUAGUUAAAGAUAGCAUUGCCAAGGUUACUGCCAGUUUAAAAAAAGAAAAAGAGAGAGAGAACAACAAGAGUCAUGGUAUUAACAUUUGUUUUCAACCUCCCCCUGGCUUUCGACCUUGUUGUCCUCCCUUUUGGGGCCCUUAUUGGGACUCCUAUUAUUGAUUUCCUUUGGUCCUUGGGCAUUUCAAAAAUUGACCCGAUUUGUUAAAUCUCAAAUUGAUUCAUCUCUUUCAAGUGCAUUUGUUUCAGUUCAUUACCAUCGGAUGGACGUUGGCGAUAACAAGCAGGUUACUAGAAAAGUCAGAUGUAGAUGCUGCUUCAUCACCCUCAUCUCGGGGAGAGAGACUCAAUUUCCAUAAAAUGCCUAAAUAAGAUCAUUCCCCUCCCCCUAAAUUCGGCCAUCAGUCUCAUGCCACAAAUCAUUUAUAGACUGCCGUAGUCUGUGCUUCUGACAUGGUAAUAUACAUUCUUGCCACAUUGGAAGCUAAACAGUCAUCCCAGGCUAGACACAUUGAAAAAAAUUGGAACUUGAAGCAAUCGCCCGUGAGAGUUGUAAGACUAAGUACUGCACAGAGAUUAGUCUAGAAGCUGUUAGACAGUUUCUUAGAGGCAUGUCUAAUUGCAUGAAGGUUGAGUGCCCUAGGGUCCUUCACCCAAGAAAAACUGCACAGGAGCAGGUCAGGGUCACUCUGGGUAAAAAUCUGUGGGCCUGAGAGUCAAUCCUGUACAUGGCCCCUAACAUUACACACUGGGGAUCAGACCUCUACCUCUACCCAUGGAGCUUGCUUCAUUCCUAAAUCCCUUGGCUGGCCCAGGUUAUACCCAACAGACUGGGACCAUUAAUUCAAGCCUAAUAGAUGACUUGUCCUUGUGUCCGUAGUGGUUUUAGAGAAUCACCCGGUGAGCAAACAGACACUUAGGCUAUCGUUAAAACGUGGCUACAAAUUUAUUAUCCAAUAUGCCUUUAUAAAAAUAUUAAAACGGGGGAGAUGUUGGGAGCUAUUAAGAUAACACUAUUGUCCUGAUCUCUAAAUUGGGCCUCUCCCCCCGAGAAGAAAAGGGGAUCAAAAGUGGGCCACCGACACACCGAUUCUGAGAACAACCACAGAAUGUUCCAGCCCUAAGUCAUCACCGAUGUCCUGACCACACCCUGAUACCACCAAGUUCCUGCUUCCCCAUGUAGCUGCCAAAAGAAAGAAUUUCUAUUGCCCCCCUCCCACUAAUAAGUACUUCUCCCUUUGCUUGUAUUGCCCCACCCGUCCCGCUGAUAAGUAUCUGUACUUCCCCUUUUGCUUGUGCAUUUAAGCCUUGGGCCUUUCUCAAUAAGUGGGGUCUUGAUGC